rnacentral:rRNA from 1 species
GGGUGGUAAUGCCGGAUGCUCCGGUUGGAUGCAUGUCCUUCCGGGAAAGGUUCCAUCGGUAUGGGAUGGGGUCGCGUCCUAUCAGCUUGAUGGCGGGGUAACGGCCCACCAUGGCUUCGACGGGUAGCCGGCCUGAGAGGGCGACCGGCCACAUUGGGACUGAGAUACGGCCCAGACUCCUACGGGAGGCAGCAGUGGGGAAUAUUGCACAAUGGGCGCAAGCCUGAUGCAGCGACGCCGCGUGCGGGAUGGAGGCCUUCGGGUUGUAAACCGCUUUUGAUCGGGAGCAAGCCCUUCGGGGUGAGUGUACCUUUCGAAUAAGCACCGGCUAACUACGUGCCAGCAGCCGCGGUAAUACGUAGGGUGCAAGCGUUAUCCGGAAUUAUUGGGCGUAAAGGGCUCGUAGGCGGUUCGUCGCGUCCGGUGUGAAAGCCCAUCGCUUAACGGUGGGUCUGCGCCGGGUACGGGCGGGCUGGAGUGCGGUAGGGGAGACUGGAAUUCCCGGUGUAACGGUGGAAUGUGUAGAUAUC